rnacentral:rRNA from 1 species
CUUAAAAUCUAGCCACCUACCCCCCCCCCCCUUUUUUUUACCCAUAAACAAAAUAUUUUAACAAUCUAGUAAAGAGGAUUAAAAAAUUUAUACGAGCUAUACUCUGUACCGUAAGGGAAAGAUGAAAUAAAAAUAAAACAAUUAAAAGCAUAUUAUAGUAGAGCCUUACCCUCGUACCUUUUGCAUCAUGGUUUAGCUAGUCUAAUUAGGCGAAAAGCUCUUAAGUCUAACCCCCCCGAAACUAAGUGAGCUAAUUUAGGGCAGCUUAAUGAGCCAACCCGUCUAUAUUGCAACAUAGUGGGAGGACCCUAAAAUAGAGGUGACAAACCUAACGAACUUAGUUAUAGCUGGUUUCUCGAGAAAUGAAUCUUAGUUCGACCUAAAGUAAUUUAAAUUCAAAUAAAUACCUACGUUCCUUUAGAGUAAUUCAAACAAGGUACAGCCUGUUUGACACGGAUACAACCCUUGCUUACGGGUAACACAAAUUUAAACUCUCACAAGUAGGCCUAAUAGCAGCCACCUUUUAAAAAGCGUCAAAGCUUAAUACGUUUAACAUUAAUUCCUAUAUUUUCAUAGACCCCUAUAACUGUAUCAAGAAAUUCUAUAUUGCUAUAGAAAUUUUUAUGCUAAAACUAGUAACAAGAGUUUAUACUCUCUCAAAUGCAGGCGUAACCCAGUGAGAACCCACCACUGGCAAUUAACAAAAUAAAAUAAUAACCAACCCAGAAAACCCUAUUAUACCUACUGUUAAUCUAACACCAGAGCACUUCCAGAAAGAUUAAAAGACAAAGAAGGAACUCGGCAAAUACAGACCCCGCCUGUUUACCAAAAACAUCGCCUCUUGAAUUUAUUAGAGGUCCAGCCUGCCCAGUGACUCCUGUUUAACGGCCGCGGUAUCCUAACCGUGCAAAGGUAGCGUAAUCACUUGUCUUCUAAAUAAAGACUAGUAUGAAAGGCAUCACGAGGGUUUAACUGUCUCCUCUCUCUAAUCAGUGAACCUAAUCUCCCCGUGAAAAAGCGGGGAUUUUUAUAUAAGACGAGAAGACCCUAUGGAGCUUAAAACAUUUUUACACGUACUUCCCACCCCAACCACCCAGGUACUCAAAUUCUACCCGUACGAUGAUUUUCAUGUUUUUGGUUGGGGUGACCGCGGAGAAUACCCCAUCCUCCGUAGUGAAAGGAGCUACUCCUUAACAACAAGCCACAACUUUAUGUAUUAAUAUAUUAACACCCAUUGACCCAAUAAAUUGAUUAAUGAACCAAGUUACCCUAGGGAUAACAGCGCAAUCCACUUCUAGAGCCCCUAUCGACAAGUGGGCUUACGACCUCGAUGUUGGAUCGGGGUAUCCUGGUGGUGCAGCCGCUACUUAGGUUCGUUUGUUCAACGAUUAAAACCCCACGUGAUCUGAGUUCAGACCGGAGCAAUCCAGGUCGGUUUCUAUCUAUAACAGAGCUUCUUUCAGUACGAAAGGACCAAAACAGCAUGGCCAAUACCACAGCAAGCCAUAGUUAAUUAUUACUGACCCACCCUCAAAAAAUUAUUAACCUGCCACCAAACCCAAGAAAAGGGCA